AACGAACGCUGGCGGCAUGCCUAACACAUGCAAGUCGAACGAGACCUUCGGGUCUAGUGGCGCACGGGUGCGUAACGCGUGGGAACCUGCCCUUAGGUUCGGCAUAACUCCCCGAAAGGGGUGCUAAUACCGGAUAAUGUCUUCGGACCAAAGAUUUAUCGCCUUUGGUUGGGCCCGCGUUGGAUUAGCUCGUUGGUAGGGUAAAAGCCUACCAAGGCGACGAUCCAUAGCUGGUCUGAGAGGCUGAUCAGCCACACUGGGACUGAGACACGGCCCAGACUCCUACGGGAGGCAGCAGUGGCGAAUAGUGGACAAUGGGCGAAAGCCUGAUCCAGCAAUGCCGCGUGAGUGAUGAAGGCCUUAGGGUUGUAAAGCUCUUUUACCCGUGAUGAUAAUGACAGUACCGGGAGAAUAAGCUCCGGCUAACUCCGUG
rnacentral:rRNA from 1 species